CUUCCGUGCCCUCCCUUGUGGCUCCCAUACCCCUGUGUUUUCCCCACGUGUCCUCAUGGCUCUUUGACUGCUCUCCUGCUUCUUUGUGGGACCUCCCAUCUCCCCCAGUGUCCUCCAGAGACCUCCAUGUUCCCGUGUGAGUUCCUUUUUUUCACGUUUCGUGUGUGGCCCCUGUGUGUCCUCCCGUGUUCCCUGCAUGAGUCCUACAUGAGCCUUGCACGUCCUCCUGUGUCUUCCCAUGUCCCCACAGCAGGACCCUUCGCAGCUCCUUCCUGCUGCUUCUGCUGGUCAGUGCCUCCUGGCUCUUUGGGCUCCUGGCAGUCAACCACAGCAUCCUAGCCUUCCACUACCUCCAUGCUGGACUCUGCGGCCUCCAGGGCCUGGCGGUGCUGCUGCUCUUCUGUGUCCUAAAUGCAGAUGCUCGGGCUGCCUGGACGCCAGCCUGUCUGGGCAGGAAGGCAGCGCCUGAGGAGGCAAGGCCAGCACCUGGGAUGGGACCUGGGGCCUACAACAACACGGCUCUCUUUGAGGAGAGUGGCCUCAUCCGCAUCACUCUGGGCGCCUCCACUGUCUCCUCUGUGAGCAGUGCCCGCUCCGGCCGGACCCAGGACCAGGACAGCCAGCGGGGCCGCAGCUACCUCAGGGACAAUGUCCUGGUUCGACAUGGCUCAGCCGCUGACCACACUGACCACAGCCUCCAGGCUCAUGCUGGCCCCACUGACCUGGACGUGGCCAUGUUCCAUCGAGAUGCUGGCGCAGACUCCGACUCUGACAGUGACCUGUCCUUGGAGGAGGACAGGAGUCUCUCCAUUCCAUCUUCAGAAAGCGAGGACAAUGGCCGGACGCGGGGGCGCUUCCAACGGCCACUCUGCCGGGCAGCCCAGAGUGAGAGGCUCCUCACCCACCCCAAAGAUGUGGAUGGCAAUGACCUCCUGUCCUACUGGCCAGCCCUGGGGGAGUGCGAGGCAGCCCCCUGUGCUCUGCAGACUUGGGGCUCUGAAAGGCGCCUGGGGCUGGACACCAGCAAGGAUGCAGCUAACAACAACCAGCCAGACCCGGCCCUGACCAGUGGGGAUGAGACUUCUCUGGGCCGGGCCCAGCGCCAGAGGAAAGGCAUCCUGAAGAACCGGUUGCAAUACCCACUGGUGCCACAGACCCGAGGUGCCCCUGAGCUGUCCUGGUGCCGUGCAGCCACCUUGGGCCACCGUGCUGUGCCAGCUGCCUCUUACGGUCGCAUCUAUGCUGGCGGGGGCACGGGUAGCCUUUCACAGCCAGCCAGCCGCUACUCUUCUAGAGAACAGCUGGACCUGCUCCUCCGGCGGCAACUGAGCCGUGAGCGACUAGAGGAAGCCCCUGCCCCUGUUCUACGUCCCCUGAGCCGGCCAGGGUCCCAGGAAUGCAUGGAUGCUGCACCAGGCCGACUGGAGCCCAGAGAUCGGGGCAGCACCCUGCCACGGAGGCAGCCACCUCGGGACUACCCUGGCACCAUGGCUGGCCGCUUCGGGUCACGGGAUGCGCUCGACUUAGGGGCACCUCGAGAGUGGUUGAGCACGCUGCCUCCGCCCCGCCGCACCCGGGACCUUGACCCACAGCCCCCACCUCUGCCCCUGUCUCCCCAGCGGCAACUCUCAAGGGACCCCCUCUUGCCAUCCCGGCCGCUGGACUCUCUGUCUAGGAGCUCGAACUCUCGGGAGCAGCUGGACCAGGUGCCUAGCCGGCACCCCUCACGAGAAGCCCUUGGGCCACCCCCGCAGCUGCUCAGAGCUAGGGAGGACUCGGUCAGUGGCCCCAGCCAUGGCCCCUCCACAGAACAGUUGGACAUUCUUUCCUCCAUCCUUGCCUCUUUCAACUCCUCGGCCCUCUCUGUGCAAUCUUCAAGCACACCCUUGGGCCCUCACACCACUGCCACACCUUCUGCCACAGCCUCUGUGCUUGGGCCCUCCACGCCACGUUCUGCCACAUCUCACAGCAUCUCGGAGCUGUCGCCAGACUCAGAAGUUCCCAGAAGUGAGGGUCACUCCUGAGGGGAUGACGGCGUGGACGAGGAACAGCUGAGGGCGACAGAGGAUCUAGGCUAACAGGAGAGACUCCAGGAGUGGGGGCAGAUCCCAAGGCAGCCUCCUGCUCCCCAGUGGUGGGUGCCCCAGCUCUACCUGGUGUGGCAGGGCUGAGGCUCCAUGUGCAUCUGUGAGCAUGCGUGUGACAGGUGCAGAGACGGGGGACUGGAGGGAGACUUUUAUACGUUUUGUACCUUUGUAACCAGAGAGAUGCUUAUGUUAUUUUUCAGCUUUUCUGUCUCCUGGGGGGUUUGAGGCUGGGCUGGGAGGGGGAGGGAGAUAGAGGGAGAGAUGCAGUUUGACCCCAUUUGGGUCCUGAGCAAACCCUAUGCUCAUCUCUCUGUCCUUCCUGGGGUGGACUCAGAUGGGUGGGACACAUGCCUUCCUCCCCCUAUUCCACCCCCAAGUUGAUCUGAGUAUCGUCAGGGGCCCAAAGUACAGAAUUGUUCUUUGCUUUUUAUUGAAUGCUCCAAAGGCCAAACUUCUGGGGCUGGGGGUUGGUCUUGGAAACAGGGGUCCUCUGACUUCCUCAUGGGGGCUCGCUCAUACCGCCCCUCCUGGUGGAUGUGUGUGUUUAUUAUGUGGAGUCCCUGCCACUUACUGCCUUAUGACCUAGGACUGAUGCUGUGGGGUGCUGGUGGAGCAGCUGAUGUCGUGUUUACAGAGCAAGGCUUCCCUGUCUCCCACGGGGAGGGGCUCGGGCCUCUAGUCAGACAUUCCUGCAGAGGGUCGGUGGAGGGGUCAUUCACCUGCCCCUGCAGCAAGCAAAAGUUGUCUGUGGUGCCAUUUGAUUCCCUGACACUGCCCCCUGCUUGAAUUGAUUCUGAAGGGUAGGGUGGGAAGGUGAGCAAAGGGAGCAGAAACAAGGGAAUUCAAGACCCAGAAUGUAGGUGCCACUGCCUCCUAUGUUUACAGGAUCCUCCGUGGCCCUAGGCACCUGGGCUGCAGGAAGUGACUCCGUUCCACUCCUCCUUUAUUCCCUUAAAAAGGGAAAAAUGACUGUUACGACCCUGUUCACAAAACUCUUACUUUUGCUAUUUUGUCUGCUGUCCAGAACUGAAGACUUUAAAAUUUUGUUACUGUUUACAAGUCCAGAUUCAAAAAAUGUUUUUACUUUGUUUACAACUCAAAACUUUGAGUUUUACACUUUGUUUACAGUAGAUAACUUUUUUUCCUUUGUUUACAAGUGAAAGGUAGGGAAAGUGGGAGAGGGACUUGGAGGACCCACCUGUGAGGACCCUGACCUGGCCAUCUUGAGGGGUUUUCUCUAACCCCCAGCUCUCCCAGGCCGAAGGUCAGCCUUGAGUCCCGUUUAACAGCAGACCCAGAAGACCUUGAGAGUAGGCGUCCUCUAACCACUGGGGAGAGUGGCUGUGCAGGGUUGGGGGGUGGUCUGUGCAGACACCUCCUCACCCACCACCCCAUGCAUACUCUUGGGAAGCAGUUUCCUGGGAGAUUAGAAAUUCUACUUCCCUGACUGGAGCUAAAUCCCACCAGCCAGGACCCAAACUCUCCUUACCGAGAAGGACCCCAGCUCUUGAAGGGCUGAGUGGCCUGCUGGGGGUGGGAGGGUGU
rnacentral:sRNA from 1 species